GAUGAACGCUGGCGGCGUGCCUAAUACAUGCAAGUUGAACGCUGAAGGCGGCGCUCGUUCCCCUGGAUUACUUGCGAACGGGUGAGUAACGCGUAGGUACCCUGCCUGGUAGCGGGGGAUAACUAUUGGACACGAUAGCUCCUACCGCAUGACAACAGUUACUGUAUGAUAACUGUUUCAAAGGGGCAACUGCUCCACUACCAGAUGGACCUGCGUUGUAUUAGCUAGUUGGUGAGGUAACGGCUCACCAAGGCGACGAUACAUAGCCGACCUGAGAGGGUUAUCGGACACACUGGGACUGAAACACGGCCCAGCAUCCUGCGGAAAGGAGCAGUAGUGAAUCUUCGGCAAUGGACGGAAGUGUGACCAUGGGACGCCGUGUGAGAGAAGAAGACUGUCGGAUCGUGUAGCUCUGUGGGGAGAGAGGGGCGUGUGUGUGGGUGUAGUGUGCACACUAUGACGUGACCUUACGAGUAGGGGAGGGCUAGCUACGUG
rnacentral:rRNA from 1 species